rnacentral:tRNA from 1 species
GGAGAGUUGUCCGAGUGGUUGAAGGAGCACGACUGGAAAUCGUGUGUGCGCUAUCACGUACCGAGAGUUCGAAUCUCUCACUCUCCGCCA